UUUAAACACCAUUACCUUACCAUGUUAGACCUAGUGCUUUAGUAAGAUCCUUGUCAUGUUAGUCCCAGUGCUUUGACAAGUUCCUAUUUUUUUCCUUACCAUGUUAGACCCAGUGCUUUGGUAAGAUCCUUGUCAUGUGAGUCCCCAUGAUUUGAGAAGUUCAUGUCUUCUCUCCCUUGCCUUGUUAGUCCCAGUUUCUUAGGCAAGCCUUU
rnacentral:lncRNA from 1 species